rnacentral:rRNA from 1 species
UACGUAGGCAGCAAGCGUUGUUCGGAAUUACUGGGCUUAAAGAGUCCGUAGGCGGCGCGGAAAGUGGGGUGUGAAAGCCCUCGGCUCAACCGAGGAAUUGCGCUCCAAACUACCGUGCUUGAGGAACCUAGAGGUGAGCAGAACUGAUGGUGGAGCGGUGAAAUGCGUUGAUAUCAUCAGGAAUACCGGAGGCGAAGGCGGCUCACUGGGGGUUUUCUGACGCUGAGGGACGAAAGCCAGGGUAGCGAACGGG